CGCAAUGAUCGAUCAGGAUGUUGAUUUUAAACAAGUUGAAAUACUUAUUAUAGCCAGUGCUGCUUUGCACUAGAAAAAAUGAAUAAUCAACGUAUUUAGCACUUGAAACACACUAAAUAAACAAGAAAAAACAAUUAACAGCAGAAAGUUAAACUUGAAGCUGCAGGUAAUCAUCUCUACCAAGAAACUCAAAGAGUCGAGGAACAACUCCAGUGAUUACUCCCUCUGAUUGUAGAAUUUGGUCUGUGGAAACAAAUUAAUUGAAAGCAACUAAAACAAAUUUGCGACACAGAGUUGUGUCCUUGAGUAGCGGUGUGUCAUCAUUUGACCCCAGUUUUUCUAUAAUUUCAGCCUCCAUUAUCUUUCCCUAUUGCAAAUUGAAGAAAUUAAUAAUAAGUUUAUAUAACAAUUAUGCUCAAUUAAAUUUGCUCCCACAUAAUUAAUUUCUUGAAAGAACUAUUUCAUUAUACAAUAAAUCACACUUUCAUUCAAAUUUGGUUUCCAAGAGAAGAUUCGUUUCUUCUUUUUGUACUUCUGUAACUAAAGUAAAUGUGGUGAAAUUAUUACCCUUUUAAAUUUAAUGUUAUAAUUCUUUAUUAGUUAAACACGCAAUCUAGAGUGGUUUAAAGAAUAAAGAGAAAAAAUGGAGAUGCUUGCUAAAAUUUCAUUACAACGACAAUUAAAUUUUCUUAAGAUAAAAAAAUGAUCAGAAAAAAAUUGGUGCUGCUUGUGAAAAUUUCAUUACAACAACCGUUAAAUUUUCUUAAGAUAGAAAAAUAAUCAGAUAUUAGCGGCAGUAAGUAUGGCUCAAGGAAUCGUUUUUACCACUCAAUAGACAUUUUCGAUUAUGCAAUCGACAUGAACUUGAAGGCUAUCAUUUCCCCAGUUCUUUUGUUCUUCUUGUAUUUGCUUUGCCGAAGUCACAGCCGAGGCUAGCGUCAUUCAAGUCAAUGAUUUGAAGAGUUGUUAAAUGUACAAUACUACAAGGAAUCUCCUCUAGUUUGAAACAUUCUCUAAUAAUUAGGCGCUCAAGGCCUGGGAAGUGAGUGCUGUCAACUCUCCAUUGCUCAAGAUCUAUUUUGAUUUGCAAUAUUCUCCUUCGGUUAGCUUCCAUUCUGGCCCAUCAAAGGUGUUAUAUCGCAGUUUGAGCACUUCAAGAUUGGCCAUAGAACCAACAAUAGUCUUAUAUAUUUCCAAGGAAUUCUACAACGCUCUAAAGUUAUCGUUUUGAUAUUUGGUGAGAAAGUGAAAUUCAUGGGGAUGCUAAACCAUUCAUUUUCACUUCUGAUUUUCAGGUUCAUAAGUUGAGGAAGAUUAACAUUUAACCAUAGUACCUAGAGAAAAUGGUGAUAUUUUUCAAUGUUCCCUAAAGAUUCCUAACUUUUCUAGAUUUGAAACUCUUUCAAAGACCUCAUUGGUACAACUGGCACUACCCACUUUCGACAAUGUUAAAAGGUUUCCUAGAACGAAAUUCUCCCCAUCUAUUAGUGAUAUAGCAGGACAUGGAAAAUAACACAUCGCGAAUAGAAGAUGCCUUAAUUGUGGCAUCCUCCAUAUUUCCUAUGGUAGAUGUACUUCUUCACAAUCUACUAUAAGGUCCGUAGAUACCAAAGAAAGGCAGGUAAUAUUUUAGGUAUGGAAAUUUUCUCAUCGCAGGAGGAAGAAAGGUACCUUUCGUGAACUAAUUUUAGGGUAAUUAGCACAAAACAUUCCUACUUCUCACCCUUCUUUGUGCAGAAGGUCCUUUUCAUCAGUUUUUAACUAUUUUACCCUCCAUUCAAAUAAAACGGAAAGAAAAAAAUUAAUUGCAACCAUAUCCCCAAAUUUUCAACAAAUUACAAAUCAGUCAUAAUUUAUGAAUUUAUUAUGAACUGAAAAAUUUUAAAAUUACCCAAAAAGAUAGAGAAAAGAAACUUGAAGAUACAGGGAAAUUAUUAAGAAAUGGAGAAAUUUUUGAAUCGUAGCCAAUGAAAAUGAAAAAUUUUCAGUUCACAAUAAAUUGUAACUAAUUUAUAAUUUUUGUUAAAAAAAACUUGGGGCUAUGGUUGCAAUUAAUUCUUUAUUUUUUCUUUUCUUUUCUUUUUGUUUUAUUUGAAUGGAGGAUAAAAUCGUCAAAAGGACCUUUUGUGGAAAGAAAUGUGGAAGGUACAGGCGAAAAUGUCAAAAAUGUAAAAUAUGGACGUUUUCCACAAUAAACUUGAAAGGUAUGGACGUUUUGUGCCAAUUACCCUUGUUUCUUCAGUUGGGAAACCAUCUACAUUUCCUUUACCAAGAUCCAACACCCUGAGCAAUGGGAAAAGAUUUUUGCCUGAUUAAUAAAUUUCUCUAGCCGAAUGGGAACACAAAAUAAAACGGACUGGUGGCAAGGAUCCCAUGGACGGAUUGACAUUUCACAAUUCCUUGUGAAAAAUAUCAAAAUUAAAAAUUUAAAUUCAAGGUUUGAAAAUUUAAAUUCCAAAAGUGACCCAUUUGUUGCCAUUGUCUCUCUUAUCAAGCAGUUGAACUUCCAAAAAAUCCCAAAAAGGGAUCUUUAUAAACCGCUUGCAACAAAUCCGAAAACUGGCUCGUUGAUUCAUUAUGUCUUUUGUUAAGGGAAGAGUUUAUUGGCAAGUCCUCUCACAGAAACAUCCUAUUCUAUUAUGCUCAAGGUUUCUAUCUCAUUCAUUUAUAUCUUUGAAGCUAUUGUAGUAAUCCCCACCUCUAGAGAAGCUCGUAUAGGCCAAUUAUAAACUAUAAAGUAGAAGCAUCUUAUCUUGUAUUUAACAUUACAAACUACUAAGAUGUUUAGAAAAAGCAAGUCCUAUAGAUGGUGUGCAUAAAGUGGAAUAAUAGUUAAGGUAAAAUAAUUAUAUUCUAAAUCAUUUGAAAUCUAGGAAACAGUCAAAAGAAAAUAGUUAUAUUCUAUAUUGGUUGAAAUCCACAAAAAAGUGCACCUCAUUAUUCACCAAAGUCAUUUGAUAAAAAUGAAUUACAAAUAUACAAGGAAUGCACUUCAAAAAUUGGACAUAAGUUAGUCACAUAACGAAUAACACGUGCAAGAAAUGGAAGGAACGGAUAGAAUCAAACCGAGGCACAAUUGUAGAUCAAUAGCCAAUUGUCGAGAAAAUUUUCCUUGAAUCAUUGACAAGAUAUUUAAUUGUCUCUGAGUGAUACUUCUAAUGGUGGAUCUAUGUGUUUUAUGACUUUGCAAAAUCAGAAAGAAAAGUUCUACAUAAAUCUUUUUGCAUAUGAAAUUCAAAAUUCUUCUCAAUAGAACAAAGCCCAGUAUUUUUCUAAGGGCCUGCUUGGGAGUUUUGGCAUACUAGUAAUGAACAUUUUUAAAGUAUUGAUUUUGAGCGCUUAUGAACAAAUCAAUGUUGAGUGAUUUUAGUAUUUUUACUUACAGUAAAUUUUAUACUUUUAAAUAAUUUUAAAUGAUUUUUUUUUUUACUUAUAAGUAAUUUUUUAUAUUUUAUAAGUGAUUUUUUUGUCUUAUAUUAGUAUUUUUAUUUCACAAAUAAUUUUUUUUUUUUUACAUAAAAGCAUUUUUUUACUUAUAAGUAACCUUUUAAUUAUAAUGUAAAUUUUCUUACACUUAUAAGUGUUUUUUAGUUAUAAUUUAAUUUUUUUUGGCUUAUAAAUCAUUUUUUAGUUAAAAUGUUUUUAUUUACAAGUUAGUUUUAAAGAAAAUAUGUUAAUUGAAAAUAAUUAUUUUAUAGGGGGUAAAAUUAGAAGAGAAUAUAAGAAACAACCAAAACCAGCCAAUUUGGCAGGUUGAGAGAACUGAUCAAAAUUAUACUACACCAAUUUUACGUGAUCUUUAAACCAUCUAAUACUGAUGUCAAAAAUACUAGCAAGCACAUGUUUUUCUAACCCUUCAUAAAUGGUGCCACCUAAAACCGGUGGAAAUAAAUAAAUAAAAUAAAAAUAUCUCCCAAGCAAGCCCUAAGAGGUACUAGCUUGGAGUGAAAAAUUAGAAAUUAGCAUAAAGCUCAAAUUAGUGCGACUCCUUCCCAAAAAUCAACUACCUUCCUAUCCCACUAUCUCACGAACUCAAAAAAAUUUCGAACUAUGAAAUCACUCCAUGGAUGAUCCAGAAACUAAAGGUGGGCAAAACCCAAACCAACUCGAGAAAAUCGCCCAACCCGACCCAACCCGACCGAUUUGGAUCGAUUUUUUUUUUUUUUUUUUUUUUUAGGUGGGUUUUGGGUAUUGGUCAGGUAGCCGGGUUGGGUUAUGGGUUAACCAGGGAAACCCGAUGUAACCUGACCCAACACGACCCGACUGCAUUAAAGGUUGAAGGCAAAAAAGGAAAAAAGAAAAAAAAAAAAGAGAUAAAUGAAAAGAAGCCCUGAACUAUUCCGGUCUUCUUCACUCUCGCCUCAAAUAGAGACUACUACGAGGGGUGUCCAUUUUUCAAUAUUAUGGAACCAUAGAAUAAUUCAAUAGCAAAUUCAUGGUAAUGGGAAAAAGGGAAAGCCAGUGCUUCUUUUCCCAAUCCCCAGGAUGUCCCAGCAAAGAGUAUGAUCCAUCUCUUCCCCAACUUUUUAGUGUAUUAAACUUCUCCAUAGAUGAAAAUCCCAACAGCCAUUUUCCUCUCCUUCACAGAAACAAAUGCUUCGAUCACCAUAAUAAAAGUUUCCAUUGUGAGCAGAUCCUUCUCUUCAUUUCUUCAAGGAUAGACACCAUGUUCUCAAACUAUCCUCUUCUCAAGAACAAUAAUCAUCGCAUUUUAAUUGCCAGAUCUUGACUUAAAUUCAACUUGCAAUCAUCUAAAAUCAUUCAAUAUUCACCUCCAAACUUAUAUCUUUGAUCUGAAUCAAUUCACUCGUCAUGUCCACCUCCUCCUGAUCAGUCCUCCAUUUCACAUUUUUAACGACAAUUGAUUCGUUUCCGCAACCACGCAACUCUCAUUCUCAGAAUCCGACACAUCAAAAUCACUAGGAAUUAAAGACCCUAAAAUUAUUCAAGCAAUAAAAGGAAAUACUGUGAUUGUAGGGAAAUCUCAGCUUUGGGAGUGGGUUUAAUGGCAAUAUUUUUUGAAAAGGAGAGAAUGAAGUGGGGUGUGACAAAAUAAAUGGAAUUUCACAAAAAGCACAAUAGAGACUACUACGAGUAAAAGAAUGAAGCAAAAAAUACACGGACAGAGAGCUACCGUUAAUUUGCUUUCCUUGAAAUCAUCAACUCCGUACCGUUCAGAUUUGUAAUUCGGUGGUGCUAAGGAAGAGUUUGCCAUUUACAGUGGUAUUUCUUGUGGAAUUUGAAUGAAAAUAGAUUUGAAGAGUGGGGGUUUCUUCAAAAUGCCCAAAUAUGCAGCCCUUUUGUGUAAAUUGAAGAAAAAGAGAACGCUUAAAUUAAGUGGGCCGUGGAUUCGAAGAUCUAUGAUUUCUUCAAAAUGCUCAAAUACAUAGCCUUUUUUUUUUUUUUGGAUAAGGUGCUCAAAUACAUAGCCGUUUAGUGUAAAUUCAACGAAGGAAAAAAAAUGCUUAAAUUGAGUGGGAUUUGGAUUUGGAUUUGAGGAGUAGAAAUUUCUUCCACGGUCUCAAGUAAAUUUCUUCCACAGUCUCAAGUAAAUGGCAAAUUCAUAGUACUGGGAAAUUCAAAGGGGAAAAAGAAGUAAUGGUUGCAGUUGGAAGUUUCAGAUCGAGGGUUCACGCCAGAAGUGCAGGUUCGGUGGCUAGACAGUGAUGCUGUAGGUUGGUGAAGGAGACAGACAAUGGGAGCGUGUUGAGUGAGCUGCAAAGUUAACUUCUUUAUUACAACUUUACAAGAAUGUU
rnacentral:lncRNA from 1 species